rnacentral:rRNA from 1 species
CCUGUUUAACAAAAACAUGUCUUUUUGAGUUUUUUUUAAAGUCUGACCUGCCCACUGAAAUUUUUUGAAUGGCCGCAGUAUUUUGACUGUGCAAAGGUAGCAUAAUCAUUAGUCUUUUAAUUGAAGGCUGGUAUGAAUGGUUGGACGAAGUAUAAGCUGUUUCAUAUAAAUUUAUAAUAGAAUUUUAUAUUUUAGUUAAAAAGCUAAAAUUUGAUUAAAAGACGAGAAGACCCUAUAAAUCUUUAUACUUAUAUUAUUUAAAUUUUAUAGAGUUAUUUUAUUUUUAUAGUUUAAAGUAUUUUGUUGGGGUGAUAUUAAAAUUUAAUGAACUUUUAAUUAUUUAAAAUCAUUAAUUUAUGAAUUAUUGAUCUAUUAAUAGUGAUUAUAAGAUUAAGUUACUUUAGGGAUAACAGCGUAAUUUUUUUGGAGAGUUCAUAUCGAUAAGAAAGGUUGCGACCUCGAUGUUGGAUUAAGAUAUAUUUUUAGGUGCAGCUGCUUAAAC